UUAAGGGAGACCUCCCACUUAAAAGCAAAAACUUGUAGGCUAGUUCUGCAAUGUGAUCAGUUUUUAAGUCGGUCAACCAGGUCGUUCGAGAUUAAGUGUUUGACUCUCAGGCUAUUUAGGUUUGGAGUAUGGGCUAUUAGCUCAGGUGGUUAGAGCGCACCCCUGAUAAGGGUGAGGUCCCUGGUUCGAGUCCAGGAUGGCCCACCUUUCAGAAAUCAUAUUGCCAGGUUCUAGUCAGCAGAUAGAAGAGAUUCAACUCUGAAGAGCUAGCCUGAGUAUGGCUUCUGUCCCUGGGGGUUUAGCUCAGUUGGUAGAGCGCCUGCUUUGCAAGCAGGAUGUCAGCGGUUCAAGUCCGCUAACCUCCACUGAAAAUGAGUUUCAGCAACCCAGCUAGAUUGUAUCUAGUAGGACUGCUGGAGCUUCUCCAGCAAGAACCUUGAAAACUGCAUAGCAACUUGUCAGGUAGAAACAUGGAUUGUGUUUUCCAAGCCAACAAAGAUUGGUUAAUUUCAUUCUUUGAAGCUUGAGAUCACCUUCUAGAAGUCACAGACACCAAAACGACUUUAGU
rnacentral:tRNA from 1 species